rnacentral:lncRNA from 1 species
GUUACAGUUUUUCCGCGAGGCUAACACAACUCCAUGCCAAAAUCGCCAUUGUCAUGAGCCUCAUCAGACGUAACGAAGGCAUCUGGUACACUUACAGCCAGCUGGACGACAAACCGAGUUCACGGAGAGAUAGAUGAAAGGAGGGAAUAACGAAGUCGUAGAGAAAAAGAAAAGAAAAAUGGCAAACGCAGACUUGAGUGUGAGAAUGUGUGAGUGUGUGUGUGUGUGUGUGAUAUAUAUUGGUGGCGGUCCCUUCCUCCUAGUUGUCCUCUCCUUCCCCGUCUUGCGGUGGCGCCGGUUCCGGCGGUUGCUCGUCGGCUGCCAUGUCCGGCAGCGUAUCCUGGGACGGGCUCUUCUUCAUCAUGUGGCUGUAGCUCCCCUUCUCCAUGAACAGCUGCGCGAAGUGGAUCUUGCAGUACAGAACGCCGUUGAGCGCGGCG